UUGUACACAAGUUAUGUUGUGUUAUUAUAGAACUGAAGCAAAACGCAGUAUCGACGCGUUGAAGCGAAUAAAAAGCUACCAACGGGAAGAAGAGGAGACAACAGGAGUAUGAACUUGAUCUUUUACUGAUCAUCAGUUGAUAUAAUUGAUGUGAUAGAAAGUGGACAGAUCGCCGAUCGCUCUCUUACAAACAAGAAGGAGAUUUAAACCGACAGUGAGUAGUGACCUUGAUUGUCCCUUUGAGGCCUUCUGAAUUUACUUCAUUUAAUUUUCUGGUCACUAAGUGUAAUGCACCCAGUAAAGUCAACAGGAAAACUUUACAUGCUCUUCCGUGUUCGUAGAGAGGCGCUCAUGGUUCGUAGAGACAGCUGCCAGAGACGGAGAAACGCAAGAACAGGUAGAAAACUAAGCCUAAAAACAUCUAAACAUGUUAUUGGAGUAAUACUGAAAACACACUUCACUCUGAUGUCAACAGACCAUUUUAAAUCUCGUAGCUGAAACAUGCACAGAAUUAUGAUCAUGGUUUGGAUCAUAGACGUACAUUAAUUCAUGUGCUGGUGAGCUGCACAGAAACGGUGUCUGUGUACACUCUGUGUGGGGAAAUCACUCAGUGGUUUUUAAGCUGGUGAAAAAUGUGAAAUAUU